UACGAGGGGGGCAAGCGUUGUUCGGAAUUAUUGGGCGUAAAGGGCGCGUAGGCGGUGCGGUAAGUCACCUGUGAAACCUCUAGGCUCAACCUAGAGCCUGCAGGCGAAACUGCCGUGCUUGAGGGUGGGAGAGGUGCGUGGAAUUCCCAGUGUAGCGGUGAAAUGCGUAGAUAUUGGGAGGAACACCGGUGGCGAAGGCGGCGGUCUGGACUGCAACUGACACUGAAGAACGAAAGCCAGGGGAGCAAACGGG
rnacentral:rRNA from 1 species